GAUAGCUGCGAAGCGUGAGGUUGCUGCAAGGAUAUUGCAGGUUUUCCGUGGAGCGAAUGUCAAGUUAUAAACCUGACGACAA
rnacentral:ncRNA from 1 species